GAGAAAUACACAUCUCUCAAUUUCUUUUCUUUUCUUUUCUCUCCAAAUCACUCAAUCCAAACAUAGCGUAAUUUCUUUUCAUAUAUCUCUUCUCUACAGAUUCAUAUAUUUCUUCUCUACGGAUUCGAUAUAUGAACUCAAUGAUUCUUCUCUACGGAUCUCGUUGAUUGCUUCUGAUCUAUGGUUCAUCAUUGUCUCAUAGCAUCUCUUUCCAGGGCUGGAUCGCUCUGUUGUCGCCUCAUCUCUCCUUGAUUCUCUGAUUUCCCGGUGACUCUCCGGCAGCGAUUCCAAUCAAGUACCAUAAAUAUAUGUAUAUACAUACAUGGACGACCAAAGGGUGUCACUCCAAAAUUCAGCUUGGCGCCUCUUGUGCCCAGGCUGUUUGAACUUCUUGGCAUUCAGCUUCUAAACAGGUAUGUCCACAAGAGGCAGAGGACGAGCAGGGUAUGUACCUAGACCCCAUGCGCCUACAAGAUAUGUUGUAAGUAUCCCAGUAUGAACAGGGUCCUGCAAGCUUGCGUCGAUUUGAAGCUUAGGAGCUCUCCUCUAGAUUUUGAUUGCCAUUUCAACGAAGCCAUUGAGAAGAAGAUGCGAUGAGUUGAGUUGUUUUGUUAUGUAGGUAGAUAUAACUCCAAUUACAAUCUGUUCAUUGAAUAGUUGAAUGCUACAAAUAAUGCUUAUGGCACUAGCCUUAUAAAUUGGAAAUGAUACUUUUGAAAUCUCUGUCAAUUUUUGAUAUACAAUUAAGAUAUUACAUACUAAUGAAUCAGAGCAUGGUAUUUGUUUGUUA